rnacentral:rRNA from 1 species
GACGAACGCUGGCGGCGUGCUUAACACAUGCAAGUCGAACGGAAAGGCCCUGCUUUUGUGGGGUGCUCGAGUGGCGAACGGGUGAGAAACACGUGUGUAACCUGCCCUUGACUUUGGGAUAACUUCUGGAAACUGGGGCUAAUACCGGAUAGGAGCUCUUGCAGCACGGUGGGGGUUGGAAAGUUUCGGCGGUUGGGGAAGGACUCGCGGCUUAUCAGCUUGUUGGUGGGGUAGUGGCUUACCAAGGCUUUGACGGGUAGCCGGCCUGGGAGGGUGACCGGCGACAUUGGGACUAAGAUACGGCGCAGAAGCCGACGGGAGGCAACAGUGGGGAGUAUUACACAGAGGCCGGGAGCCUGAGGCGGCGACGCCGGGAGCGGGAUGAUGGCCUUCUGGUGAUAAACCGCUUUCGACUGUGAUGUAGGGGGAGUGACGGUAAUGGGUAAAGAAGCACCGGCUAACUACGUG